UACGUAGGGUGCGAGCGUUGUCCGGAUUUAUUGGGCGUAAAGAGCUCGUAGGUGGCUCGAUAAGUCGGGUGUUAAACCCCCAGGCUCAACCUGGGGCGCCACUCGAUACUGCCGUGCUUGAGGACUGGAGAGGAGACUGGAAUUUACGGUGUAGCGGUGAAAUGCGUAGAUAUCGUAAGGAAGACCAGUGGCGAAGGCGGGUCUCUGGACAGUUCCUGACGCUGAGGCACGAAGGUCAGGGGAGCAAACGGG
rnacentral:rRNA from 1 species